GAUGAAGAACGCAGCGAAAUGCGAUAAGUAAUGCGAAUUGCAGAAUUCAGUGAGUCAUCGAAUCUUUGAACGCACAUUGCGCCCUGUGGUAUUCCGCAGGGCAUGUCUGUUCGAGCGUCAUUUCAACCCUCAAGCUCUGCUUGGUGUUGGGCCCUGCCCGCUCGCGGCCGGCCCUAAAGACAGUGGCGGUGCCGUCUGGCUCUAAGCGUAGUACAUCUCUCGCUCUGGUGCCCGGCGGUGUCCUGCCAGAACCCCCCAACUCUGUGGUUGACCUCGGAUCAGGUAGGGAUACCCGCUGAACUUAAGCAUAUCAAUAAGCGGAGGA
rnacentral:misc_RNA from 1 species